UUCUUGUUUACGGCCGUAUCGCUUUCGUACGAAAGCAGCAGCGGCGUACGAAUGCGAUACGAACACAUACGAAUCCGAUUCGUUCUAACCAAUUCGAGCUUUCGAACAUCGUUGCUUUCGUACGAACGUGCCAUUCUUGUUUACGUACGUAUGCGUAUCCGUAUUCUUUUUGCUCUCGUUCGCAAACGUCAGUCAAAAGUUGCGAAUCGCUGUACGAAUCGCCGGCGCCGGUAGUUUUUUCUCGUUUUUCUGCUGUUUUGUGCAAGUUUUAUUUUUUGAAAAAUCGAAUAAGCCGAAGAAAAUUUGUUUUGUGAAGUGUGUGCAACAUUUGCGGUAAUCGAUUUCUAAAAAUUUUCCAGUUUUGGGAACGGAAUACCGCCAGUCGAAAGUUGCGGAUGGCUGUACGAAUCGCCGUCGCCACGGGUUUUUCUCGUUUUGUGUUUUUGAAAAAUCAUUUGGCUGAAGAAAAUUUCUAGCUAUGCGAAAUGUGUGCAACAUUUUCAAGAAAAACAUAUGUGACAUGGAUUUUUAAAACAGUUUCCAGUUUUGCAAACGGAGCAGCAACGUUAGUCAAAAAUUGUGGAUCGCUAUACGAAUCUUUUUACAAAUCGCCGGCGCCGUGAAAUGUUCAGUGCUAAGAAACCAUGCGGUAAUUAAUUUAAAAAAUGUUGGAAAUUGAGCACAGCCGAUAGAAAUUGAUUGAGGUUUGCCGUUAGUUCUGGGAGAAUGGCGAUAAAAAAUUUAUAAGUCGCUACCAUAAAUGUACUAAUUAUCAAUAAUCUGCCGAAAAUUUGGAUCGUCGGGAACAGCAAAAAGUCAACCACCAAGUAGAUUCUGAUUGGCGCAGAUAGUUGACUGGGUAACGGGAUAUAGGAUAAUCAAUUUAACAUUACUUAAGUGAUAUAGAUGCCGAUGUGUAUACUAGGAAUAAUCGAUCAGGAGCUACUGGAAAUUACUUAAAGUCAAAUCGAAUCACGAUUCUCCUUCCGACAAAUAUUUAUACUUGCUAUGAGAGAUAACUUUGCUGGGAGACUAAGAAUACAACAAAGGAACCAAUUCCCUCGGAUGCUUCACAAAACCGCGUGCUACAAUUCAGAGAGCUGGUUCCGUUUAGUGUUGAUCAAAAUACAAAUGCCGUAUAAUUUAAUUUAAUUUUAUCAAUAAUAAUAAUGAAUUAAUUUUAAUUAUUUUCAUAAUCGAUUGUCAUAUAUAUCUAGUUAUGGUUCUGACGUGAAGCACUUUGGUUUAUCUUCCGGGAGCGUAAAUUAUUUAAUAAAGGUGAUUGACAUUAGAUCGCAAUCGCAAGUUCGAGUUUUUUCCCAACAAUAAUUUUUUUUUAACAACAAGUUUAACGAAAGUAUUCAUAUUUGUGAUCGAAAAACUAGAAAAAAAGCCUAUUUAGAUCUAAAAAGAUAAAAAAUCAAUCAACUGGUUCCAGAGGCGUCGCGUGGUUGAUUUCGUCACAUGUGCACCGAACAUUUAUUUAAGUUCUUUUUCCUUAAAUGAAAGAAGCAAAUCAAACCUAAGUGAUUGAUGCUUUGAAUUAAAGGGUGUCGCUAGUAUGCUUACUUGUUUUUAUAGGUUAUUAUAUUUCGAUAAUUGCAUAUGCUCGGAUAUUAGGGAAUAGUGUAGCUGUGCAGUGCACAGGUGGACCCGACGCCAUUAAUUGGUUAAAAAAUUAUGGAUGUUUGAAAAUAAAAUACUGCGAAUAAAGCCGUUUUUAUUGGGCACCCUAUUAUUAGGUUUAAUUAAAUAUUCACGAUGUCAGCAUUGCAAAUUGUUUCUCUCAAAAAGCCCUAGAAGUCGUU